rnacentral:lncRNA from 1 species
AAAAUUUAAAUUAUCAAAUUUGCGAGUAUUAAAUUUUGACGGACAUUACAAAUUUAAAAUUUAAUUUUGAGUAUUACGUGAUUGACGAGUAUUACGUUUGAUAAAGAAAAUAUUUGAGAAAAAGCAUGUAUACGAGAUAAAUUUAAUUCUACAUAUUACGUGAUUGGCAGAUAUUACGUUAAAUAGAAGGUAAAUUUAAUUUUAUGUAUUAUAUGAUUGGCGGGUAUUACAUUUUAUUUAUCAAAUUUGCGAGUAUUAAAUUUUGGCGGACAUUACAAAUUUAAAAUUUAAUUUUGAGUAUUACGUGAUUUGUGAGUAUUACGUUUGAGAAAGGGCAUUACGUAGAAAGAAAAUAUUUGAGAAAACGCGUGGAUGCGGAUAUUACGUUAAAUAAGAGAUAAAUUUAAUUUUACGUAUUAUAUGAUUGGCAGGUAUUACAUUAUAUUUGAGAUAAAUUUAAUUUUACGUAUUAUAUGAUUGGUGGGUAGGAAGGAAAUAUUUGAGAAACGCGUAGAUAGGAGAUAACGGAUAUGAAGGGUAUUAUUGUCACAAAAAGUGACAGAUACUUUUAUUUUCAAUCGUU